rfam:Trichobilharzia regenti genome assembly, scaffold: TRE_scaffold0005323
AUCCAGCUGACAAGUCCCAAAUAGAACGAAACGUUCAUUCUGGCUGGAU